UGGGGAAUAUUGGACAAUGGGCGAAAGCCUGAUCCAGCAAUGCCGCGUGAGUGAUGAAGGCCUUAGGGUUGUAAAGCUCUUUUACCCGGGAUGAUAAUGACAGUACCGGGAGAAUAAGCCCCGGCUAACUCCGUGCCAGCAGCCGCGGUAAUACGGAGGGGGCUAGCGUUGUUCGGAAUUACUGGGCGUAAAGCGUACGUAGGCGGUGACUCAAGUCAGAGGUGAAAGCCCGGGGCUCAACUCCGGAAUUGCCUUUGAAACUAGGUCGCUUGAACGUCGGAGAGGUGAGUGGAAUUCCGAGUGUAGAGGUGAAAUUCGUAGAUAUUCGGAAGAACACCAGUGGCGAAGGCGGCUCACUGGACGACUGUUGACGCUGAGGUACGAAAGCGUGGGGAGCAAACAGG
rnacentral:rRNA from 1 species